GUACCUGUUCCUGGGCUCUUUUCCCACUGUUGAUUUGCCGUGUACAAUUUCAGUGUGAUAGUUUUGUUUUACCAUAUUAUAAUAUAAUAUAUUAUAUUAUAAUAUAUUAUAUUAUAUUAUAUUUUUAUCUCUUAGAGGCCUGUUCAUUUCUAAUGAGAGAAAGAAAGGGAGUGAAUCUGGAUGGGAGGGGAGGUGGGAAGGAACUGGGAGGAGUAGCGAGGGAAAGCCAUAAUCAGAACACAUUAAGUGAAAAAAAACUAUUUUUAAUAAAAUGAAAUUAUACCUGCAUUAUUUAUUAAUUUAGAGACUUGUUUUUAGAUACACAUUAGAACCCAAAAUUUAUUGAAUGAAAUAGGAGAUAUCAUAAAUAGUUUCUAAUAAACUUGACCCUAAAAAUCUCCCAGCACAUUCUUUUCUGGACAAUAAGAUUCAGCAUUUUAUAUCUAAAUAUCUCCUUCUUGGACACAUAAUCAAUAUGUCUUGUUAUUAUUAGACAGUCUUUCAUUGAGGUUAAACACUGCUAGAUUAGAGAGUUGGAACAAGAGCUCUAAAGUGUUUGUUGCUCAAGUAUGUGACCUGAAUUCAGGUCUCCAGUAGCCAUGUAAAAGCCUGAAUUUGGUGGCAUGUUUCUCUAAUCCUAGUGCUAGGGUAGGGGUUGGAGACAGGCAGGUCUCAGGGUGCACUAUCCAGCUAGUCUACUCAGAGAGAUCCUAUCUCAACAAUAAAAAAUCAGGCAGAGAGAGGAGUAGACACUUAAAAGUCUACUUCUGACCUUCUCACUUGAGCACACAGGUUACUGCAAUGGGCACACACAGGUAUGCGUGUAUUCUCACAAACGCAAUUGUGUGUGUGUCAGGGCUGUGUAUGUUUCAUUUAGUAAAGGAGUUUAGGAGUUACUCGUAACAACAUGUUUAAAUUUUAUACUCCUAUGAUAAAAUGUAUUCUUUUCAAGUUUGCUAUAGUUUUUCUAUUAGGGGUCUGAAAUAGGGGACCUAAGUAAAAAUAAUGUGCCAGCAAGAGUAAUUAUUCAAGACCACCCCAAGAUCAGCAUUUGAUUUCCUUAUACCAAAAGGCAACUAUAUGACACUCAAACAUUUGAAGACUACUGAUGUGUGUCUUUCACUUUAUUUUGCACAUGACAACUGUUUUCUAAGGUUGCAAAAUCCUUAAAAUCUUGAACUAUAGGAAUUGUGUGUCUCUUACCACUUUGAAAUGUCUAUUGUUGAAGCAAACAUGAAUUCUAAGUCAAUGGAUGUUGAAUUUAUACCCUGAUACAAAAUGAUAUACUAAACUCUCCAGUAAAGUACUUCACUUUUACCUACAAGUGCUUAUAGAUUAUGCAAAUAACAGCAUCAACAUCAGUGUGAGACAGCAAACUGUGGUAGCUUCAUUGCCCCUCUCUGCGUGGAAUGUACCUUUUCACAUUACUUUUAAAAACUGGGGUUUCUAAAAGCCGUUGAAGUAAUAGCUAAUAAAACUGACUCUUAUGUGAUCCAGUGCUAAAGAAAAUUGGUUGGGCAAUAACAUCAAGUUUUUCAGAACCCCCAGAAAUCAUUUAAAACACUCUUUAAUAUCACAUAAACUAAUCAUCUCUGCAAUGUUUAUCCU
rnacentral:lncRNA from 1 species